rnacentral:rRNA from 1 species
UACGAAGGGUGCAAGCGUUGUCCGGAAUUAUUGGGCGUAAAGAGCUCGUAGGCGGUCUGUCGCGUCGGCUGUGAAAACCCGGGGCUCAACCCCGGGCCUGCAGUCGAUACGGGCAGACUAGAGUGCGGUAGGGGAGACUGGAAUUCCUGGUGUAGCGGUGAAAUGCGCAGAUAUCAGGAGGAACACCGGUGGCGAAGGCGGGUCUCUGGGCCGUAACUGACGCUGGAGGAGCGACAGCGUGGGGAGCAAACAGG